UAGGCUACGCCCCCGCCCUUUAUGAUGCGUGUUUACAUGGCGGAGGGAUCCGCCAGCUGACACCGCCGCGCCGGCCCUUCUUUUUUUAAAGAGCCCGGCCACGGGCGCCGAUUGGCUGCUCGGCCUUGGGGGCGGGGCCCGGGCGCAUUGUCUGGUCCCCACCGCGGGAUGCCCGGGAGGCCGGACCGGGCAACCCCCGCCUGCAGCCCUCGGACUAGGUCUCCCGGACCGCUGGGCGCGAGCCCUGGACGGGGUCAGGUUCGGGCUCCCGAGGGAAAGUGGAGUCGGAGCCGGGGCGGCCGUGGCGGAACCAGCCCCCCUCCGAGUGCCACGUCUCCAGGAACCCCUCCUUACUCCCGGACACCCCGCCCCGCCGGGCCUCCGUCCCCCAACCGCCCCCAUCUGUGCAGCCCCGGGUCCUCUGGACACACUCCUAGGGGUCUCGGUCCUCACCCGGCGGGCUGGGCCCCAACCUGCCCGACCCCACCCCCCGGCCUGCGGCCCUAGGUCCGCCAGCCUGUGAGGUGGCGCCCCCCGCGUUUCUUCCGGUGGCCUAAAUCGAAAGGCUACGCUCCAGAUUUCCAGACUUGGGAACGACUUUGUCCCCCGGCCCCAGCCCCCGCGCACCGCCCGACACCGGGCUCCGGGAAGGGGGGCAGGCCGGGCUCCCAGCGGCCAGGGCGGGCGAGGGGGGGGGCUGGCGGGGAGGCUCGCGCAGCACGUAGCGCACGUGUAGGGCGCUCCCCCCACCCCCAACGCUUGUACACACGUCCCCCCGCCGCCCGCCGCUCUCCAGGGCUCCCUUCCGCCCUGAUCUCGGCUCUGCACAUUCCUGGUACUGCGCCUCUUCUGACACCACCUUCCCACCAGGCCUGUUGAUUCUCCUCUCUGCCUCCCUCUCCCCAGCGAUUAGGCCUCCCCUCGGCCUCUUCGCGAUCCAUCUCAGCUCCUCUCGCCAAUUCAGUGCCAUCAUCUCUCCCACCACUUUUGGUGCCCUGGAGUCUUUGGUGGCAGCAGCCUUCUUUGCCUCCGCGGUUUAUUCCUGUGCCCUCCCACAACGCCUCGUUACUGCUCUGGAAGGUGUGAUCGGUGAGAACUGGAACCGCUGUACUACCAGGAAUAAGACAGGGCCAGUGGCUGGGAGUCACUAGACUACUGGACACAGCAACUGCAGAAAAACUGUGCAACACAGAGGGCCGAGUGAUGGCAGUGCUCCCAGCACGACAGGUGAAGGCCACAGAAGCUGCAGAGGGGACAGAGCCCUGCCUGUGUCAGUGAAGUCCUUCCACUACCCUCAUGAAGCCCACUCCGCCUCUCUCCUGGCAAAGCUUCUAGAAGCCAUUGGGGUAAACCGUGUUCUUUUACGAAAGGAGGUACGUUUUGCCUUUGUCAGUGCCCCAGGACAGGUGUAGCAGGAGAAGGGCGGUGAGACCACUAGAAGACUGGAGAAUCUCACCUUCAAACCUAUGAGAGAAAUCCGGCAGAGAAGCGUGAGCUCCAAGGAGGGGAUGGGUUCCCCAGGGGGAGUGGGGACAUGAAGACAAGUAGGGCAGCUGGGAAAGAGAGAAGAGGGAGGAGAAAAAGCAGGACUGUGUCCUGGGAACCCAAACCUGGCAGACAGGUCCCUCCCCACCAGACACAUGUAUCAGGAAUGAGGAAGGAGGAUGCAGAUGGAAAGUGAGCUGCUAAAGAAAGGCGGAAUCGCUGGGAUUACAAAAGGCCUUAGAGUCACACAGUCCAAUUCCCUCCGUUUUCUGGACCAGGAGCUAAGCUCAGGGGUCAGGGUCACAGGUCACACAGUCAGCGGCCAAGCUGGGACAAGAACCUUGGGCUCCUGGCUUCUUGAAGUGCUUUUCCUAACCCAUCUUCUUCAAAGGAGAGCUUUGGGAGGAUGAACUGGGCGAAAGCAAAAAGACCCGUACCUAUAAUAAUAGCUAAUAUUUAUUGAGCAGUUGAGCCAUGUGCUAUAAAAUUCAGGCUCGAAGGAGACUUGGAAGGACCCACAGGGAGUCAGCAUCAAAGGGCUGACGAGGCCUAAGCUGUCGUGUGCGUACAGGCUCCCGGGGGUGUCACUAAGAUGCAGGUUCUGGCUAAUCCAACUGAAGCAUUCUGACAGGCUUCCAGGGGAGGCGGUGUUGCUGGAGGAAGGACACACUUUUAGUAGCAGGACUUAAACAUCGCCUCCACUGAAAGAGAGGACAGAUGGGAAACAGGAGCAGGGACAGGAAGAGGCGGUCCCCAAGAGCAUGCCACCCAGCCCUGUGCCCACCCUUGCCAGCCAGCGUACACUGACAACGGCAUAUCGUAUCAGCUUUGCCUCCCUGGGCCGCCUCUUGGAAGGAAGGGCAGACGGAUCGGGAGAGAGUUCUGGAAAGCGUGGGGUACAACGCGAGCUGUGUAAGGCUGGAGGUGAGCACGGACCAGGUUGGUGGGUUCAUCAUUGGCCACGUGAACCACUGGGAGGAAAGUGCCAAAGUAGGAAAGCAGCUCAGAGCUGAAGACAAAUCAGCAGGGUGUGAAAAAGUAAAGCCACCUCAUUCCAGUGACAGGCGUGCAAGGCCACGAGGACAGACAGACUGUCGUGCCUUGGUGCCGCUGAGCUGUCAGCAGACCCGUGCCUUCCUUUUUCUAUCCAAACAAGCGACUCACAGAGCGUGUUUUCCUGGGGCAGGUACACUUUAGCCCAAGGUGAGGAAAGGCUUUGGUCACUCCCAGAAUCUUUAGGUCCUUGAGCUGCUGAGCUCAGCACCAGUGCAGGGUGUUGUGUGCGCAGACACACGUUCGAAUGUGCACAGUUACAGGCAGCGUGCCUGGGGAAGUCAGCGGCAGCGGCGUCCCUAGAAUUGACAACAUGAGAAGCCAAACUCCCGUAAGUUUAGGAAAGUAGCAGAUGGACCCGUAGCAAUAAAAUACCUCUGAACUGUAUCCCUUUAAGUUGCUCAUAGUGCCAAAGUAUCCUCUCCUCUGCUGACAGACUCAUACUUUGUAACGCCCGGUCCCUCCUUCACCCCCACUGGCUUCUGCAUCCUGGGUGUCGCUGAAACUGCUCCUGACUUGUAAUGACAAAAGGAGUCAAAACUGCGGCAUAUUUUCAGGCCUCGCUCUCCUUAACUCUGCAGCGAUUCACAACACUGGCUAGUCUUCCUCCUGGGAACAGUCUUCUUGGCUUCUGGGCCUCGUCCAUUCAUCAGCUGUUUACUGAGUGCCUACUAUGCGCCAGGCAUACGACAACACUGUUGGUGUUAAGUACGGGGGAGCACAAACUGCCGGGGGCUUAGAAAAGGCUUUUUGGAAGAUGUGACAUCUAAGCCUAGACCUGCCAGAUAACCAGGGAAGAUGGCCACGUAACGUGGGAGAAGCUCAGGGAGAUUCUCCAGUGAAAGGAACGGCACAUGGAGAAGUGGACCAGAAGUGACAAGGAACCUGGCUCACUGGGGAGCCGAGAUGGAGGAGGGCUGGGGCAGAAAGGGGUCUUCUCAGCGAAUGGCAUUGGGACAACUGGGUGUCCACCUGCAAAAGGCUGAAAUCCAUGGAAACAGGAGCAGAUCAGCAGCCAGGGGCUGGGGGAGGGGAUGGAGCAUGACAGCUGACAGGUACGGGGCUUCCCUGGGUGUGACAAAAUGUUCUAAAAUUGACUGUGGUGAUGGCGCCCACUUCUGUGAAUGUACUGAAAACUGCUGGACUGUAUACUAUCAAAAAGAGUGAAUUUUAUGGUAUGUGAAUUACAUCUCAAUAAAGCAGUUGAUUUUAAAAAGCUGUAGAAGCCAACUCAGGGUCUAGAGAAGCCUGCAAGCACAGAGCCUCACCGGCCAGCUCUAAGCAGGAGAGGGGAAGGGCCUGGCCCUGCUUUGGAAAGGCGGCUGCCGCGUGCAGACUGGCUCGAAGGGGUCAGAACAGGGAGCCAGUUAGAAUCCAAGACAACAAAAUGUGCCAGGUGCCCGGCAUGUGUCACCAUCCACGGCACUGCCCCUUCUCAUCUCGCGCCCUUCCUUCUCUCCCUCCCCUUUCCCAACUAAGUUGCCAGAGUCCUCAGGGGUCUCCAGUUGGGGCCUCAGUGUAUUACCCCCAACUGAUGACGGACACCCUCUGUUGGCUCUUUUCCUGUCAUUUCAAGCCCAACAUAUUGAAAAGCAAAUCCUUGCGCAUGUUCCAAAAGGCAGUUCCCCAUUUCAGACACGUCUAUUCCUGGCAAUGGUGACUUUAAUACCUAAACUCAAAAUCCUAAAACUAUGAUAAGAAGGCGGCCUAUGAACCAUCGAAUCGCCUUGCAUUGCUUGUUCGAAAUGCUUGCCCAUGCUCCAACCUCUGUGAUUUCGUAUUUCUGUGUCGACCCCCCGGCCCGGCCCAUCACGUAGGCUCCUGUUCACAGUUCUCCACAGAGGGAGCUGUGAGAGCCAAGGAGAGCUGCGUGUCAGGCCUUGGGCACCAGAGGUGACAGGGGAAGGCCGUGGACUCUGGCUGCGACAGCUCCUGAUCAAGUGGGAAAUACUGUGUUAAGGGGCCCAGAUGAGGGGUGACUUCUGGAGCCCCCAGGGAAGGGCGCACAGAAGAGAUGAGUCAAACAGACGUUUCUCAGGCUUGGAAGCUGAGUGACUAAUGUGAGCAGGGGACCGAGACCGCAUCAGAGCAGCCUCUCCCUGGACGGUGCUGGGCCCUGGUCACGUGUCCCCAGGGCCCUCAGGUAACAGGCAAACAGGUGGAGGAAGCUAGUAGAAAGUGUUGUCCUAACUGAUAGCUGACCUUCGGCCCCCACGGUUAGGCCUGUGGCAGGGUCUGCCCAGCUGAAGGGCAGUGCCAGGUAGGGUUAUCUACCUGGUGUGCCAGAGCUGGAGAUUUUUCAGAAGCUGGAAACCCCAAGUAUGUUA